rnacentral:rRNA from 2 species
GGUUAAGUGACUAAGCGUACACGGUGGAUGCCUUGGCAGUCAGAGGCGAUGAAAGACGUAGUAACUUGCGAUAAGCCCAGAUUAGGUAGUAACAACCAUUUGAGUCUGGGAUUUCUGAAUGGGGAAACCCACGUGCAUAAGCACGUAUCCUUACCUGAAUACAUAGGGUAAGGAGGCGAACCGGGGGAACUGAAACAUCUAAGUACCCCGAGGAAAAGAAAUCAACCGAGAUUCCGAAAGUAGCGGCGAGCGAAAUUGGACUAGCCCUUAAGCUUUACACGCGUUAGACGAACGGUCUGGAAAGUCCGACGAUACAGGGUGAUAGUCCCGUAGUUGACGACGUGUGUUCAGUGAAAUCGAGUAGGGCGGGACACGUGAUAUCCUGUCUGAAUAUGGGGGGACCAUCCUCCAAGGCUAAAUACUACUGACUGACCGAUAGUGAACCAGUACCGUGAGGGAAAGGCGAAAAGAACCCCUGUGAGGGGAGUGAAAUAGAACCUGAAACCGUGUACGUACAAGCAGUAGGAGCAGGCUUUGUCCUGUGACUGCGUACCUUUUGUAUAAUGGGUCAGCGACUUAUAUUCAGUGGCAAGGUUAACCAUCUAGGGGAGCCGUAGGGAAACCGAGUCUUAACUGGGCGUUCAGUCUCUGGAUAUAGACCCGAAACCAGGUGAUCUAGCCAUGGGCAGGUUGAAGGUUGAGUAACAUCAACUGGAGGACCGAACCGACUAAUGUUGAAAAAUUAGCGGAUGACUUGUGGCUAGGGGUGAAAGGCCAAUCAAACCUGGAGAUAGCUGGUUCUCCCCGAAAGCUAUUUAGGUAGCGCCUCGGACGAAUACUACUGGGGGUAGAGCACUGUUAAGGCUAGGGGGUCAUCCCGACUUACCAACCCUUUGCAAACUCCGAAUACCAGUAAGUACUAUCCGGGAGACACACGGCGGGUGCUAACGUCCGUCGUGGAGAGGGAAACAACCCAGACCGCCAGCUAAGGUCCCAAAUUACUACUAAGUGGGAAACGAUGUGGGAAGGCUCAGACAGCCAGGAUGUUGGCUUAGAAGCAGCCAUCAUUUAAAGAAAGCGUAAUAGCUCACUGGUCGAGUCGGCCUGCGCGGAAGAUGUAACGGGGCUAAGUAGUAAACCGAAGCUGCGGCAAUACUCUUUGAGUAUUGGGUAGGGGAGCGUUCUGUAAGCGGUUGAAGGUGUGUGGUAACGCAUGCUGGACGUAUCAGAAGUGCGAAUGCUGACAUGAGUAACGAUAAAGGGGGUGAAAAACCUCCUCGCCGGAAGACCAAGGGUUCCUGUCCAACGUUAAUCGGGGCAGGGUAAGUCGACCCCUAAGGCGAGGCCGAAAGGCGUAGUCGAUGGGAAACGGGUUAAUAUUCCCGUACUUCUUACAAUUGCGAUGGGGGGACGGAGAAGGCUAGGUGGGCCUGGCGACGGUUGUCCAGGUUCAAGUGCGUAGGCUUAAGAGUUAGGUAAAUCCGGCUCUUUUUAAGGCUGAGACACGACGUCGAGCACCUACGGGUGUGAAGUCAUUGAUGCCAUGCUUCCAGGAAAAGCCUCUAAGCUUCAGAUUGUAAGGAAUCGUACCCCAAACCGACACAGGUGGUCGGGUAGAGAAUACCAAGGCGCUUGAGAGAACUCGGGUGAAGGAACUAGGCAAAAUGGUACCGUAACUUCGGGAGAAGGUACGCUCUUGAUGGUGAAGUCCCUUGCGGAUGGAGCUGACGAGAGUCGCAGAUACCAGGUGGCUGCAACUGUUUAUUAAAAACACAGCACUGUGCAAAAUCGUAAGAUGACGUAUACGGUGUGACGCCUGCCCGGUGCCGGAAGGUUAAUUGAUGGGGUUAGACUUCGGUCGAAGCUCUUGAUCGAAGCCCCGGUAAACGGCGGCCGUAACUAUAACGGUCCUAAGGUAGCGAAAUUCCUUGUCGGGUAAGUUCCGACCUGCACGAAUGGCGUAAUGAUGGCCACGCUGUCUCCACCCGAGACUCAGUGAAAUUGAAAUCGCUGUGAAGAUGCAGUGUACCCGCGGCUAGACGGAAAGACCCCGUGAACCUUUACUACAGCUUGGCACUGAACAUUGACCCUACAUGUGUAGGAUAGGUGGGAGGCUUUGAAGCACGUACGCCAGUAUGUGUGGAGCCGUCCUUGAAAUACCACCCUUGUAGUGUUGAUGUUCUAACGUCGACCCCUAAUCGGGGUUGCGGACAGUGCCUGGUGGGUAGUUUGACUGGGGCGGUCUCCUCCCAAAGAGUAACGGAGGAGCACGAAGGUGGGCUAAUCACGGUUGGACAUCGUGAGGUUAGUGCAAUGGCAUAAGCCCGCUUGACUGCGAGAAUGACAAUUCGAGCAGGUGCGAAAGCAGGUCAUAGUGAUCCGGUGGUUCUGAAUGGAAGGGCCAUCGCUCAACGGAUAAAAGGUACUCCGGGGAUAACAGGCUGAUACCGCCCAAGAGUUCAUAUCGACGGCGGUGUUUGGCACCUCGAUGUCGGCUCAUCACAUCCUGGGGCUGAAGUCGGUCCCAAGGGUAUGGCUGUUCGCCAUUUAAAGUGGUACGCGAGCUGGGUUUAGAACGUCGUGAGACAGUUCGGUCCCUAUCUGCCGUGGGCGUUGGAAGAUUGAAGGGGGCUGCUCCUAGUACGAGAGGACCGGAGUGGACGAACCUCUGGUGUUCGGGUUGUGUCGCCAGACGCAUUGCCCGGUAGCUAAGUUCGGAAUCGAUAACCGCUGAAAGCAUCUAAGCGGGAAGCGAGCCCUGAGAUGAGUCUUCCCUGAUACUUUAAGUAUCCUAAAGGGUUGUCGGAGACUACGACGUUGAUAGGUCAGGUGUGUAAGUGCUGUGAGGCAUUGAGCUAACUGAUACUAAUUGCCCGUGAGGCUUAACCAU